rnacentral:rRNA from 1 species
CUUGGUCAUUUAGAGGAAGUAAAAGUCGUAACAAGGUUUCCGUAGGUGAACCUGCGGAAGGAUCAUUAAAGAAUUGCCCCAUUUAUUGAAAUGGGUUCUAUUCCCAAACCGUGUAUACAUACCUUUGUUGCUUUGGCAAGCCGUCCUUCGGGCGCAGCUUCGGCUGAGAGCGCUUGCCAGAGGACCCCAACUCUUUUGUUUAGUGAUGUCUGAGUACUAUAUAAUAGUUAAAACUUUCAACAACGGAUCUCUUGGUUCUGGCAUCGAUGAAGAACGCAGCGAAAUGCGAUAAGUAAUGUGAAUUGCAGAAUUCAGUGAAUCAUCGAAUCUUUGGACGCACAUUGCGCCCCUUGGUAUUCCGAGGGGCAUGCCUGUUCGAGCGUCAUUAUGACCACUCAAGCCUAGCUUGGUAUUGGGGUUCGCGGUCUCGCGGCUCUUAAAAUCAGUGGCGGUGCCAUCUGGCUCUAAGCGUAGUAAUUCUCUCGCUAUAGGGCUCCGGUAGUUGCUUGCCAAAACCCCCCUAUUUCUCACGGUUGACCUCGGAUCAGGUAGGGAUACCCGCUGAACUUAAGCAUAUCAAUAAGCGGAGGA